ACAACGAUGGGCCUCAGCAUCGCUGCCGCGCAUGCGCCCCCGCCCCCCCGAUCGCCUGCUGGGCCGGAACGGCCCAACUUCACAGAGACGGCGGGGAGAGCGGUGGCUGUGGGUGUGUUUUCCAAAGGUGUUUUGAAAACAGCAAGAUGAUACCUGCCAUGGAUAUGCCAAACAGAUAACCACAGGAACAGAUGAGCUCCCAUGUUCUGGCAUACAUAAAUAAAGUGUGGACUGUGACGGUGGUAUAUUAUGUGCCUGGUUGACGUCACAAAGAGACUACGAUAAGAGACAAAAAAACUCCUGUCAUGAAGAUACAGCAAAUGCUAGGAUUCCUUUCCUUUGAAGGACUGUUCUGAAUCAACUGGAUCUGUAGAGGAAUGCUUCCACCAUUCUGCAAAGCCAUUAAAAUGAUUAUGGUGUAAGAAAAGUUUCUUUCUUUGGAUUCUGUGUCAAUAUCACAUGUUUCAAAAGAGCUACAGAGCCAUAGUCCAGCACACCUCCUACUCCAAACCAAAUAAAACUGCAGCAUUUCCUGGUAUUGAUGGAAGGCACUGAAUUUGUCUGUCUUCUUGGGCAGGCCUCCAGUGGGAAAAGCUUUUAGCAGUUCUGUGCUGGAAAGUGCUACUGCCAUUUCUCCAAGUGAAACCAACUACACUUGCAAAAGCAGGUUUACUAGUUUGACUGCUCAUACCUCAGAACUUUGCUAGUAAAAAAAGAAAAAAAAAAGAAGAAAAAAGUUGAAAAAGGUUUUGCCUCUAGCCAGCAAAAAAUGAAGACAUUAUAUCCACCUAAGUUUAUAAUACAGACUUCUUUAUUAAAGCAUUGCCACUUUAAAACAAAAGUUUGGGCCAUGCUAUUCAAAUGGUCAUCAAAUUUGAUCAAAUGCAUGCUAACAGCAUCAGGCUGUGAAUACAUCAGCAUUGCAUGUAGGCGUGUGUGAGAAAAAUUAAUUGCUGUGAUUUGGCACACCUUCCUGACAGCUUAAAAGAAAAUAUGAUUUUUUUCCCCAUUAGACUCUAUAGAGCUUUAAGAUUUUUUUCAAAAUGAGCCUUUUGCCUACUUUUUGUCAUCUUAGUGAUCUAAUCAGCAGAUUUUUUUGAGGAUCUCUAAACUGUAAGUGCAUUUAUACCUAUUUCACCAAAAGUGUUGUAGGUGAAAUGUCACCUUUUUCCACAGAUGGGAGUAAAGAGACAGAGAUAUUAAGUGAGGUACUGGAGAUCACUCAAUAAAACUGUAGGAAAAUAAGACGUUUUCACCUAAGGAAAAUAAGAGGUCUUCAGACCCACUCUGUCUAUACUUUUUUCUAAUGAUACAAACAAACACUUUGGAAUAUAUGCAAAUAUAACACCAUAUGUCCAUGUAAGUAUACAGUGCAUUAGUAAACUGAAUCUUUUCUCAGGAGACAGAACUGCCUGUGGGUAGAGAAAGAUUUACUUUUCACUUUCACUGAAGAUUCUAUGUCAGUAAAGACAUGCAAGAACAUUUUUCUCCACCACCAAAGAUUUGCUCUGUGAAAUUACUCUUCUGUCAUUUUAUUUUGUUCUAUUCAUUCUCAAAAGUGAGUUACUGUUUUAACAAGUUUAAUUAAUUUUGUGUGCAUAUUACUGAGUAAGAGUGUACCAGGAGUCAUCUUUUGGAAGGCAACAUGCUAUUGUUGCAUCUUUCACUGCAAAUGUAGCACUGUGAAAUUUCUGGAGACAUCUGCAGAGAGGGACUCUCAAAAUAAUAGAAAGUUGAAUAUUAAGAAUGUCUUUUAACACAUGUAGCUAUGGAGUGUGCUUCUAGCUGGGUUUUCAGGCUAUUAAAAAGGUGGCAACAUGAGAAGUUCUCAAGAGCAAAAAAAAUUUUUUUGCUCAUAAUCCUGCUAUACCUGUAGUUUGUAGUUUCAGAGAGGAUCAAACACAUUUAAAUGAUUAUUAAAGAGCUGAGUGUCAGCCAGCUGUAUACUUAAACUGUCAAGAUCUCCUUGUCAUAGAACAGCCAAACAUCUGCUCACCUAAGAUACACAGAGAACUCUUUUCUUUUCUAGGUAAUAACUAGCUGAGGAAUUCUGUGAUAAAAAAUUAGUGCUUAUUCUGCCAGAAUACCUGUAAUUAUCUAUGCAAGCCAUCAGAUGUACAUGGGUAAUUUUAGGCAAUGUCUAGUAUCUGUGGUUGUUAUGAAUAAAUCAAGGCUGUAAUUUUUGCGUUUUUACUUCACAGUGCUCUAUUAUUUCAAUAAAGAAGCAUUUU